rnacentral:rRNA from 1 species
CCUACGGGUGGCAGCAGUGAGGAAUAUUGGUCAAUGGACGAGAGUCUGAACCAGCCAAGUAGCGUGAAGGAUGACUGCCCUAUGGGUUGUAAACUUCUUUUAUAUGGGAAUAAAAUGUUCCACGUGUGGGAUUUUGUAUGUACCAUAUGAGUAAGGAUCGGCUAACUCCGUGCCAGCAGCCGCGGUAAUACGGAGGAUCCGAGCGUUAUCCGGAUUUAUUGGGUUUAAAGGGAGCGUAGGUGGAUUGUUAAGUCAGUUGUGAAAGUUUGCGGCUCAACCGUAAAAUUGCAGUUGAAACUGGCAGUCUUGAGUACAGUAGAGGUGGGCGGAAUUCGUGGUGUAGCGGUGAAAUGCUUAGAUAUCACGAAGAACUCCGAUUGCGAAGGCAGUUCACUGGACUGCAACUGACACUGAGGCUCGAAAGUGUGGGUAUCAAACAGGAUUAGAUACCCGAGUAGUC